rnacentral:rRNA from 1 species
UACGUAGGUGGCAAGCGUUGUCCGGAGUUAUUGGGCGUAAAGCGCGCGCAGGCGGUUCGGCAAGUCCAUGGUGAAAGCGCCCGGCUCAACUGGGCGAGUGCCGUGGGGACUGCCGAGCUGGAGGGGAGCAGAGGCGAGUGGAAUUCCGGGUGUAGUGGUGAAAUGCGUAGAGAUCCGGAGGAACACCAGUGGCGAAGGCGGCUCGCUGGGCUCUACCUGACGCUGAGGUGCGAAAGCGUGGGGAGCGAACCGG